GAUGAACGCUGGCGGCGUGCCUAAUACAUGCAAGUCGAGCGAACGGACGAGAAGCUUGCUUCUCUGAUGUUAGCGGCGGACGGGAGAGUAACACGUGGAUAACCUACCUAUAAGACUGGGAUAACUUCGGGAAACCGGAGCUAAUACCGGAUGAUAUUUUGAACCGCAUGGUUCAAAAGUGAAAGACGGUCUUGCUGUCACUUAUAGAUGGAUCAGGGCUGGAUUAGUUAGUUGGUAAGGUAACGGCUUACCAAGGCAACGAUGCAGAGACGACCUGAGAGGGUGGUCGCCCACCCUGGAAGUGAGACACGGUCCAGACUCCUGCGGGAGGCCGCAGCAGGGAAUCUUCCGCAAGGGGGGAAAGCCUGACAGAGCAACGCCGGGUGAGUGCUGAUGGUCCUCGGAUCGGAAAGCGCUGUUAUCAGUGAAGAACAUAUGUGUAUGUAACUGUGCUCAUCAUGACGGUACCGGAUCAGUAAGCCCCGGCUAACUACGUG
rnacentral:rRNA from 1 species